rnacentral:rRNA from 1 species
CCUACGGGUGGCAGCAGUGAGGAAUAUUGGGCAAUGGACGAGAGUCUGAACCAGCCAAGUCGCGUGAAGGAUGACUGCCCUAUGGGUUGUAAACUUCUUUUAUAAAGGAAUAAAACGAGGCACGUGUGCCUUUUUGCAUGUACUUUAUGAAUAAGGAUCGGCUAACUCCGUGCCAGCAGCCGCGGUAAUACGGAGGAUCCGAGCGUUAUCCGGAUUUAUUGGGUUUAAAGGGUGCGUAGGCGGCCUUUUAAGUCAGCGGUGAAAGUCUGUGGCUCAACCAUAGAAUUGCCGUUGAAACUGGGGGGCUUGAGUAUGUUUGAGGCAGGCGGAAUGCGUGGUGUAGCGGUGAAAUGCUUAGAUAUCACGCAGAACCCCGAUGGCGAAGGCAGCCUGCCAGGCCAUGACUGACGCUGAUGCACGAAAGCGUGGGGAUCAAACAGGAUUAGAUACCCGGGUAGUC